GCGUACGCAGGGUCACCUCUAGGGGGGUUUCCAACCGAAUCCCAAACAACCAGUAACAAAGUGUGUGUAAGUGUGUUAGUUUUAACCCUUCCUAAAGAGCCGCAGGAAAUUUUCAAAAUUAUGCAUUUUUUCGUGUUGUUUGGAUCAUAACUUCAGUUCUACUCACUCAAUCUUCAUUAUAUUGGGCUUCCUGGAAGUGGAAAGGUAUCAGGGAGAGAAUGAGGUCGACCAUGAUAGCCAGGACACAGUACAGUCAUAUACAUAUCCAGCGCUAUAGGCUAUAGCGGUAGAGUGCAGCGACGGUGCGAAAAAUGCCCCAAACAGGCCCAAACGCGUCCUGCUCCAGCGAUUUCGUUUUUCUUGAUCGCAGAGUUUCGACUUUUUCCUGUGUACUCUUGAAAAUAUCACAAGGGAAGCCCCUGCAAAUUUGAGCAAAUCAGCGUGACGAAAAUCUCAAAUUCUCGAUUCUCAAGUCGCACUGCGCGCUUUUGAAAUUGCCAAGAUCGCGGCUCAAUUUAGGAAUGAUUUAUCUCACGAUACAUUGCCCGCAGCGCUUCACAAAUUGUUUCAACCGACAGCUGAGAGUUUUCUAUUCGACCUGGAUAUUUGGAUCGUUGGAUUUGAGCGAGAUUUGACUGAGUUACGAUCUUUUGAAGUUUUGCAUUCUUGCCAGAUCGAUCAUGCGCCCUACCAAUAAAUGCCCAAAAACGUUGCUCGUUUGGAACAUUUGGGGGGUUUACGGGCAACGGGAACCCCCCCCUGCGUACGCGCCUGGCUCUGACUUCGUCGAGAGGAACUACAUAAAUAGACUUUGUCAGUUUGUGCUGCACAAAAAAGUCAUGACAGCAUACAUUCCUCUACUAUACGUGUAUGCUAUCGAGUAUCGAGCCCCUUUUGAAUUCAAGUCAAGUACUCAGCGAGCGUGUACUCGAGUACUCGGUGUAUUCUUUUGAGCACUAGCGUUGAGAACUGGAAAAGCUUUCUAUCUACAUGUACCAGGCUGUAACUGUUCUUCUAUCAUGACAUCAUGACACUACGGAGAAUUAGCAAGACGGAAUCCGCGUUCGUGUUCGCACUCCAAGCAAAGUCGAACUCAGUAAUGGAAUUUUGCAUUGAGAAGGAUUAGCAAACAGAAUUCACACAUGCAUGACGUUGACACGUCGUACAUUGCUCACAGACAGUACGGCAUUGUAAAUUGAUGACUGUCCUGACACGAAUCCGCGAUUUGUGUUUCGACUACUUUUCCAAACGAAAAAUGCGAAAGUUUGCAAUCCAGUUUGCGAACCGAAAAAUGUUCGUGAACACGAAUGCGAAUUUCGUCUUGCUAAUCCUCCGUAUUGUAGGUGUCUCUUUCCCCGCUGCUGCUGCUGCUGCUGGUGCUGCUGCUAUGGUGCGUAUUUAUGUUUUGGUAUACAGGUGGUGGAAGGUGGAGCUGCCCAGCCCGUUCGUCGACGCUUCCACGACUUGCCGACAUGGCUGGAGGCAUGGACUCUCUUCAUGAACAUCGUGUGUUCUGCCAACCCGCCUGCAGGAGAUGCUCUCAUACCAAGCCACCAUUGUUGCAGCCAACAGGCAAUACUAUCCGGAGGCUUGGCUGUCGUACGACACCCAGUUUCGCUCUGCCAUUUCUGCUCAGCCAGGCAAGCGCUUUGACGUCAUCGACAUCAAUCUGUGGCAAAUGUCCGUGACUAGCCAAUCAAGGCCCACAUGUGAGUCCUGCCGCCUCGUCCAUCCCGGAGGCGGCCAGUGUCCCUUUCUCCGCAACGUAACAACCAGCAAGCCUUCAAUGGGGUCCGUACGGUGUCUAAUGGCCAACCGAUCUGCCGGAACUUCAACGCUGGGCGUUGCAGUCUCAGCAGGUGCAAGUACGCCCAUGUCUGCACCCGCUGCGGGUCCAAGGACCACAACGAAUCUAAGUGCGGUAGGCGCCAGUAACUGUGCUGCUUUGGCUGCAGCUCCCGCGAUUGUACAUAUUUCUCCCUGCACUUCACGUUCUACUGAUUUCACAAGCGCAUGUCCUGCUGUCCACACGCCCUCUCUGUUUCUCGCUUCGAAUCACUGCUUCGUAACCACCCUGACAGUUCAUUGGCUUCGUAUGUUAUUAACGGCCUCCGCUGCGGCUUUGACAUUGGCUUUACCGGCAACCGCAUAACUAACCAACACUAGUCCAACCUCUCAUCAGCAUUCCAGCACUCUGCAUUUGUGUCUGCACAGCUCACCGCUUCCUGCAACGCCGGCUACACGGCUGGCCCAUUUGACUCGCCCCCAUUCUCAUUUAUGUACUGCUCUGGCAUUGGCGCCGUUCCGAAAAAGAAUGGCAAGCUACGCUUGAUACACCACCUGUCCAGCCCUGCCGGCUCCAGCGUUGACGACGGGAUCCCUGCCGAACCUUUCUCUUUGCAGUACAUCAGCAUUGAUGAAGCCAUUAGCAUCAUUAUGUCCUCCCCGUCUCCUGUCUAUCUCUCUAAACUCGAUGUGAAGAGCGCUUUUCGUCAAAUACCUGUCCGCCCACAGGAUUGGCAACUCCUCGGCAUCCUGUGGCAGGGUAAGUACUACUACGACCGUGUCUUGCCAUUUGGGCUUCGCUCUAGCCCAGCGGUAUUUGAUGCAGUGGCAGCCACCAUCGAAUGGAUAAUGCACCACGAAUUCUCCAUCCCUAAAUUGCUGCAUUUCCUGGACGACUACUUGUGCGUGAGCGUGGGCCAGGCAGUGGCGAAUCGGCAGCUGGCCAUUCUUCUCCGUGCAUUCUCAUACCUCGGAGUCCCGCUCGCGCCUGCGAAGGUGGAAGGCCCGUCUCGUACCCUGACAUUCCUGGGCAUUAUCCUGGAUUGUGAGAAGAUGGAAGCCCGGCUCCCUGACGACAAAUUGGCUGACAUCAAGCGCCUGUUGACUGCAGCGAGCAUCAACCCUACCAUGUCUCCCUCGAACUCGAAUCUCUUCUGGGGAAACUCUCCUUCGCUGCAAGAGUCAUCGUACCCGGUCGGACAUUUAUGCGGCGCCUGUGGUCUAUUUGCAGUCGCUACCAGCAGCCUCACUACCGCAUCAGUCUGACUACCGAGUGCCAGGAAGAUAUCCAAUGGUGGCUACGGCUCCUGGAAGAAUGGAACGGAAAAUCAUUCUUCCUGUUCCCAGAUUGGACACCAUCUCCAGACUUGGAGCUGUUCACUGAUGCCAGUGGCACCCUGGGCUGGGGCGCAUUCAACAGCGGCCGCUGGCUUCAAGGGACCUGGUCGUCUGAGCAACUCGCUCACAGCAUUGAGUGGAAGGAGCUCUACGCGUUGGUCACAGCGUGCUGCACGUGGGGCAAGGAAUGGCGCCAGCUUCGUAUCACAAUGCACUGUGACAACAAGGCUGUGGUAGAUUGCAUCCGCUCCGGCACAUCCAAGUCACCGCCAGUGAUGACCCUGAUCAGGGAGCUGUUCUUUGUGUGCGCCCGCUUCAAUUCCACCGUCGCUGCUGCUCACAUUGCUGGCCAGUCUAACUGCAUUGCCGAUUCGCUGUCUCGUUUCCGCAUGGAGGAAUUUCGGCGUCUCGCCCCAGCUGCUCAAGCACAACCAGACCAAGCAGUGCUGCCAUUCCAGUCGAUGCAAUAUAGCCUUGACAUACAGACUUGGUGUACGGUUGGCUCAUCUCAUAGUCUAACUGACAUACUUCGAUCAGUGCUUUCAAAGAGAACAUCUCCUCUCGCAGAUAGAGUCCUUCUAGACCAGAGACUUGACGUUCGGUUGGCUCAUCUCAUAGUCUAGCUGACAUAAUCAGUGCUUUGAGAGAGAACAUCUCCUCUCGCAGAUAGAGUCCUCCUAAACCUGAGCUUGCCUGUGCAAAUCGUCUCGUCUACCAUUCCAAGUGAUGAACAUGGCUUCAUUGCGUAUUUUGCACCGUCUUUGCAAGUCACAAUUACACUUACCGUGGUGUGACAGAAUACUACGGUUGUACACAUCCAGUUGCAGCUCAAGCCAGAAAGCAGCCAGCAUUCUGCUGGCGUACGUGAGCAGCGGUUGCUGUUGGAAUUGUCCAUUGCAGAGAACAGCUUUACUGACCUGCCAUAUAUCACGUGAUCCAGUCCAUGCAGCCGGUAGACCUGUAUUGAUGGAUGCAGCAGCUGUCCUGCAUUGUGACUAUAGACCUUUGAGGGUUUCAGGGAUAUGGAUUCUGCUCGUGCAAUAUUGCCUGUGAUCAUGGUGAUGGCCGCCUAGUAGCUAGCCCAGCACAUUUAUCAGAACCAGCAGAUACAGCAGCUGAGCCAGCCAUAGCUAUCACUGCAACAGACUCGGCAGGAAGAGCAGUUGCCAUUGCAGCUAACACUGCAGCAGACACAGCGGCAAGAGCAGAUGCCAUGGCAGCAACCACUGCAACAGAUGCCAUGGCAGCAACAACAGUGGCCAUGGUAGCAGCAAACACCGCAUCUGCUGCACCAGGCAGUGACUGUAUUCGUUUGAAAACUAGUGGGCAGACUGCUCACAGCAGCAAUGCCAAAGAUGAGUCAGAGCGGCUCAGUCUUCAGCAGCAGUAAGCAGCAGUAAGCAGCAGUAAACAGGAUGCAGUGCACUUCGCAAAGUGAGCACCUUAGCAAGAAAGAUGUUGUUUUUCUUCCUUUUUUCCACACACCGAGCAGCAGUGGGAGUGUUGCAUCACUGUUUGCACAUGCCAAUGGACAGGUUCGAAGUAUGUGAGCCUAUGGUAUCCAUCAAAUCACUGAAAACGUUUUGACAUCUCUGCCUUUCUGUCAUACUUUGGCGAAAGCUUAAUUUUAGUUUCGACUCUCAGACCCAGAUUCCGUCUGUUGGAGUGCGCAUCCAAGACGGGCUAUAGCUGAUAGCCAGUUAUUUGUACUUCAAAGUAGAACGUCAGUACCGUCGUUCAAUGUUAUCGCAUGAGCUGAGUGUCAGGUAACUGAUGGUAGUGCACAUUAUAACGUAACUCGUAGUUCCUUGGUCCUUUUCUUACUUUAAUUUAUUUCCAUAUUAUUGGACUCAAAAGUGCUAUGUUGCAGCUAGCCCAUCAUGACAGCGCUGACUUUUUGGGUCCAGUUUUCAUAUAGAUUCAUACACAUUUGGGUGUUUUUUCCUUCACAGCAUUUUGACACUUCGUUCGACCUGUGGACUACGGCGAAUUAUGAUUGCGAAAUUGUGGAAUUAUGCUUCCAUGGAUGCUCGCACAAUGCUCGCAAACUCUUUAUAAUAUAAACGAUUUUGCGAGCGUUAUUUUUUAUGCUUUGUAACUGAUCCUUUAGAAAGCUUUGGGAUGCGGGGAUAUUUUAUUCAGUGUGUUGUAAUUGUACGUAU